GGGAGAUGGCUGGGUCGGGGGAGGAGGGGAUGGAGGAGUGAGGAGAUGGUGAUUUGAGUAUAUGUACAGUAUGUAAUCAAGCUGUUGCCGACAAGUCAGCAACUCUUUGUGGUUUGCUGAGGAUCAAUUGUUGUAGUUGUAGCUUUGGCUCUAUAUAUGUUGUUGUAUUUUUGUAGAAUUACAAUAAUAUUAAUAUGAGAUUAUCCUCUAUGGAACAAAUAGGCAUGUCCUUUUUUUAUUAUUAUUAAUAUUAUGGAUUUCGCGACCCUCUCUAGAGGGAUAUAUGUAUUAUGAUGGAUGUGAACUUGAGGACGAUUUGUAAGUUUGAACAAUGGGUGCUGAGCUUGCCAAGUUUCAAGUCAGCCUGUAAGAGCUGAAACAUAUGGAUAUAAUUGAGCCGCGAGAUGGAAAGAAGUAAAAGAACAGAAUUAUUAAA